AAAAACCAAAGAGAAAAGAAAAAAAGGUUAAUUUAGGAAAGCCAGAUUUCGGUCUGUUGUGUAUGUAUAAUGUUUUUUUUUCUUGGAAACUAAAGUUUUUUUUUGUCUUUCUUUGUGUUUCUCUUUACAA
rnacentral:ribozyme from 13 species